rnacentral:lncRNA from 1 species
UUAAAUAUUCAUCCAAACCCUGAGAACUAGCCUUUGCGUCUGGCUGGGCAGUUCUUGUCCCAGGUAGCGUCUGGCACUGGGACCUUUCUUUCUUUCCUGGAUGAAUACAGGUUUGAAUGCUAAUAUUUAACCUGAGAACUAGCCUUUGCGUCUGGCUGGGCAGUUCUUGUCCCAGGUUGCGUCUGGCACUGGGGCCUGCGUUUAGAGUUCAGCAUGGUGGUGGGAUGGACUUUUCUUUCACCCUGAAGGCUGAGUUCAGCGCCUGGCAGGGCCGUCGACCCCCCCCAUACAAGUUGCUCGAGCGUCUGGCAGGGGAGCAGUGCCGAUGAUACUGAUGUACUGACCAGUGUGUCUGUCAGUCCAGUGGACAAAGGUGAGUACAGGAUUUUGAUUGUGUGACAAUUUCAAAGAUGUCAAAGGACGUGGUUGAGUGGGAAUAAAUGUUUGUAUUACAUUCAAAUUUAACGUGAUCCUACAAAUUAAUCAUCUUUCGUCACAUUCAGUUUCAUAAGGAGAAGGCGAUGAGGGCACCAGGAGAGGAGGAGAAGGAGGUGAGGAGGCACGUACAACUGUAUUUGUUCUAUUAGGGUUAAGAUAAAGAAAAACAUAGGAGACGUUACACUUAUCUCGUGACACUUUAUUUGUUUUAUUAUUAUUUUUUCUAUAGAUUACGUUAAAAAAACACAAGGUAAGUAAUUAAAGAUGUUAAGUUGGGAUAAGUUUUCAUUUGACUUUUUAUACAUUUUAAUUGACAGUAAUGUAAUAUUUUGUCGCUCUGCCUUUUGGCUGCACAAGGUGACACCAGGCAAUGGUAAAGACAACUAAAAUGUCCUUCAAGUAUUUCUCUGAUGUAUGUACUCACUCUGCAUUCUAAUGCUUUCACUUUACCAGAAACGACCGAUCUGGACCCAGGUCCUGCAGUCCAAGGAGAUGCCAAACUGAUUGCAGGAACUAUGGCUGCACAAUUACAUUCAGUGCAGCUGUGGAGGAUGGAGACAACAGACAUCAUAGAACCACCUGGAGAGAAGUUGUCACCUGUGUCUAUGGAGGCUCAAUGCUCAUCCUUCAGCUCUUGCUCCCUCCAGCCUCCGGUCCAGACAGAGGGGAGCCUCCCAGUCCUAACCACACAGAGGAAGUGUUUUCAUCACUGCUCUCUCUGUGCUACUGGGUUUGGGAGACUCUUCACAUAAUCAGUGGUGUUGGCCUCCAUCUGUAAACAGAAGUCAGUCAAGACAAGUCAUUUUCUAAAUAUUUUGAAACUAAUUGUAAUAAAUACGUUGCAUCUUUAACGUCA